rnacentral:rRNA from 1 species
UGGGGAAUAUUGGACAAUGGGCGAAAGCCUGAUCCAGCCAUGCCGCGUGUGUGAAGAAGGUCUUCGGAUUGUAAAGCACUUUAAGUUGGGAGGAAGGGCAUUAACCUAAUACGUUAGUGUUUUGACGUUACCGACAGAAUAAGCACCGGCUAACUCUGUGCCAGCAGCCGCGGUAAUACAGAGGGUGCAAGCGUUAAUCGGAAUUACUGGGCGUAAAGCGCGCGUAGGUGGUUUGUUAAGUUGGAUGUGAAAGCCCCGGGCUCAACCUGGGAACUGCAUCCAAAACUGGCAAGCUAGAGUACGGUAGAGGGUGGUGGAAUUUCCUGUGUAGCGGUGAAAUGCGUAGAUAUAGGAAGGAACACCAGUGGCGAAGGCGACCACCUGGACUGAUACUGGCACUGAGGUGCGAAAGCGUGGGGAGCAAACA